AGGAGAGCGGAGACGUGGUGCUGUCUGGAGCGUAUAUAGAUCUGCAGAUGGAUGUGUGUGUCAGAGCCGGGUCUCCGCAGGUCUGCACACACACACACACACACACACACACACACACACACACACACACACACACACACACACACACACACAUCUCUGAGAUCGCACGCAGGAUCAGAGAUGGCGGUCAGGAGCUGGUGAAGAAGGUCAACGCUGUGUUCGGAUGGAGAUCAGCAAAGACGGCAGAACUAUCCGAGAGUGGAGUGAGCCAGACACUGCAGAAUAACAUUCAUUCUCUUAACACAAGCAAAGAUAUCUGCCAAAGGGGCGAGGAAUAGAAUGAACUAUUAAGAGAAUAUAUUUUGAAGAAGAACACCAUGACCUUCAUCAAAUUAAAAUAUCUUGUGUUUGUGUCCGAGUCGAACGAUGGCAGAAAAAAGAAAAGAGUAAAAAAUAAACCCUGGACAAUCUUCCUAAAACAUACGUCUGCAGGAUCCUUGAUGAUUAUAAAUAUGCUUUAUCUUUAUCACAGUAUUAUUUCAUCUAGUUAGCGGCUCUGAAAUCGAGUGAACAUAAACAUAUGAUAAAUAAUAAUAAUAAUAAUAAUAAACAAUGUAAACAUAGUUAGGCUAUUUAAGUUCCUCUCGCUCCACAACAAAUCCUUUUAAUUUAAAAGUAUUUAGAAAAUAUAAUUAAAAGAUAUGAAUUCACAAGCCAAAAUGAAUGAUCAUUUUAGGCUAGAAUGAAACUGAAACUAAAGUUGGGUCUCUCAUUCCAAACAAAAUCUUUUUUUUUUCUGUAAAUAUUAUUUACGUACUUCACUCGCUUCCAGUAUCCACAUAAAAGAAAAUGUUUUACAUCAGGGCAUUAAGGUGAUAACACUUAACGGUACAGAUUUUACUACAUAAAAACUGAGCAGUGUGUGUUUGUGUUUAAAUUACUGUUUUUUAUGAUAAUGAACAGACAAAGGUGAUAAAAAUGAAUAGAUAUAUAUUAAAUAGAUAUAUAUAUUUUUUUCGUUGUUGUUUUAUGGCCUAUAUCUGACGUAUUAUUCAAUGUGUUUUGUUGUUACUUUUUUGUUAGUUGUCCUAUUUUGAGAGUAAUUAUUAAUAGGCUAAUAAUAGGCAUAUAAUUAAUUUCAACCCGUUCUCAUCAGUCUGCGUAUAAAUAACACGACUUUACACUUUCUAUUUGCGUGUAAUGCAUACGCCAAAUGCCAUUUUUGCGUGCAUAUGAUACGCUAAUCCUUCCCAUUAAUUUCGGUGGAGAGCAGAUGCGUCCAAAUAACACGCAUCAUCUUCAGCGGCAGUGACGUCACCAGCGAGGCUCGUUCAGUUCACCUGAUGCGCGUACACCUUCAAACGGGUAAGCAAGGUUACGUCGGAUUACAUACUCCACAACAACCUGUAAUCCAGCAGAUCUUUAAAGAAGCCAUCUCUUGUAAAAUCUCUCUCUCUCUCUCUCUCUCUCUCUCGCUCUCGCUCUGCUAGAAUUAACAGGGAACUUCAACUCCACGCUCCCAAUGCUGAUAUUGAAGAAGCUGUCAAGGGGGCUGAACAAGUCCUUCAAAGGAUCAACCCUUCACAGGAAGGCCUGUCAUGAGAUUUGAAUUUGACCAUCUUGUGCAUUUAUGAAGAAGACCAAAAGCUGCGAAGGCAAACACUUCCAAUGGAUUUCUCACAGAUUACUUAAUCAUUCUUCAUCAACUCUUCACAAUAUCAGCCCAUUCAAAAGCUUCCAGAUCUUCCUCUCUUGUGUGACACAUCUGCUCUCAGUCCUUUACUGCCAACCUCCAGUCUUAGCAUUUCUGCUUGUAUUCAUUUUUCCUCUACAUUCAUCACUCCAAUCUCUACUAUAAGCACUCCUGUAUAUAUAUAUAUAUACUCAUAAUAAUUAUUAUUAUUAUUAACCAUUUAUUUGUUUUGCAUUUAUUCACAAUAGAAGCAAACAAUGAUUACAGGAUAUAUGUUUUUAAAGGUGAUAAUUGUAAAAUAUUGGAGCAUUGUUCUUAAUCAUUUUUGCCUAUUUGGUUGAUAAAGGGAAGAAAACAAUAUAUUUUCAACUGUAGCCUUGAUUAUUCUUUGGCACCUUUUGUCAGGAUUUCUGUAAACAAAUUCCCUUUUUAUUUUUGAAUAUUAAACUUAUGUUUUUUGAAGGGAGUUUCUGUUGCAAUUUUGUUUGUUUGUUUUCACUUAGUUACCUCUAUGCAUUUUUUUUUUUUAUCAACUUUUCUUUUUUUUUCAUAGUGGAAUAAACUGGAGAGAGACUGUUCUGGGUACUAUGUUUAUCUGCGAAAAGUUUGACAUAUCAAUAAACACUGUAAAAUGA